AACGUAACGAGCUGAAGCAACUUUACUUUUUUUUCACUUUUCCAAAGUAACGUCCCCAGCUCUGAUCCGGGCCCCUGCACUUGGGUUGGGAAAGCUGAGGAUGCCCGGGGGGAGCCGCGGCCGCUCGGAGCGGCUUUCCCUCCGACCGGGCGCUGCAGCGUCUAAGCGGACCCUAAAGCGCCUGCCGUCUGAGGCCAGCCCAGCCUAACCAGCCAGCCAGCCAGCUUGCCUGCCUGCCUCUGCGCGCCCUGCUGGGACUCACAUCCGGGGUUGGGUUGGGCUAAGGGAGAAACGUAACGAACCCGGAAAAAAAAAAAAGAAAAGAGGGAGCGAGCGGAGCGCUGCGCGCAGCGAGCUUGGCGCGGUCUCCAUCCCGCAGCAGCCCCGAGGGCGAUGUUCCAGGCCAGCCGCCGGACCACCCUUCGCCACCGGCCCGAGGAGAGGCCGCGAGGGG
rnacentral:lncRNA from 1 species